AUUGAACGCUGGCGGCAGGCCUAACACAUGCAAGUCGAACGAGUGGCGCACGGGUGAGUAAUGUCUGGGAAACUGCCUGAUGGCUGGGGAUAACUACUGGAAACGGUAGCUAAUACCGCAUACCAUCAGAUUUGCCCAGAUGGGAUUAGCUAUUUGGUGGGGUAACGGCUCACCAAGGCGACGAUCCCUAGCUGGUCUGAGAGGAUGACCGGCCACACUGGAACUGAGACACGGUCCAGACUCCUACGGGAGGCAGCAGUGGGGAAUAUUGCACAAUGGGCGAAAGCCUGACACAGCCAUGCCGCGUGUAUGAAGAAGGCCUUCGGGUCGUAAAGUACUUUCAGCGGGGAGGCGGUACCCGCAGAAGAAGCACCGGCUAACUCCGUGCCAGCAGCCGCGGUAAUUC
rnacentral:rRNA from 1 species